rnacentral:rRNA from 1 species
AACGAACGCUGGCGGCAGGCCUAACACAUGCAAGUCGAGCGCACUUUUCGGAGUGAGCGGCGGACGGGUUAGUAACGCGUGGGAAUAUGCCCAAUGGUACGGAAUAGCCUCUGGAAACGGAGAGUAAUACCGUAUGUGCCCUUCGGGGAGAGAUUUAUCGCCAUUGGAUUAGCCCGCGUCUGAUUAGAUAGUUGGUGGGGUAACGGCCUACCAAGUCGACGAUCAGUAGCUGGUUUGAGAGGAUGAUCAGCAACACUGGGACUGAGACACGGCCCAGACUCCUACGGGAGGCAGCAGUGGGGAAUCUUAGACAAUGGGCGCAAGCCUGAUCUAGCCAUGCCGCGUGAGUGAUGAAGGCCUUAGGGUCGUAAAGCUCUUUCGCCUGUGAAGAUAAUGACUGUAGCAGGUAAAGAAACCCCGGCUAACUCCGUG